AGAGCGAACACUGGCGGCAGGCCUAACACAUGCAAGUCGAGCGCCCGUAGCAAUACGGGAGCGGCAGACGGGAGAGUAACACGUGGGAACGUACCCUUCAGUUCGGAAUAACCCAGGGAAACUUGGACUAAUACCGAAUACGUCCGUAAGGAGAAAGAUUUAUCGCUGAAGGAUCGGCCCGCGUCUGAUUAGCUUGUUGGUGAGGUAACGGCUCACCAAGGCGACGAUCAGUAGCUGGUCUGAGAGGAUGAUCAGCCUCACUGGGACUGAGACACGGCCCAGACUCCUACGGGAGGCAGCAGUGGGGAAUAUUGGACAAUGGGCGCAAGCCUGAUCCAGCCAUGCCGCGUGGAUGAUGAAGGCCCUAGGGUGUAAAGUCCUUUCGACGGGGAAGAUAAUGACGGUACCCGUAGAAGAAGCCCGGCUAACUUCGUGCCAGCAGCCGC
rnacentral:rRNA from 1 species